GACGAACGCUGGCGGCGUGCCUAAUACAUGCAAGUCGAACGAAGCUGUUUUAACUGGUGCUUGCACCGACUUAAACAACUGAGUGGCGAACGGGUGAGUAACACGUGGGUAACCUGCCCCAAAGCGGGGGAUAACAUUUGGAAACAGAUGCUAAUACCGCAUAAUCACAGAAACCACAUGGUUUCUGUGUCAAAGAUGGUUUCGGCUAUCACUUUGGGAUGGACCCGCGGCGUAUUAGCUAGUUGGUAAGGUAAUGGCUUACCAAGGCAAUGAUACGGAGCCGAACUGAGAGGUUGAUCGGCCACAUUGGGACUGAGACACGGCCCAAACUCCUACGGGAGGCAGCAGUAGGGAAUCUUCCACAAUGGACGAAAGUCUGAUGGAGCAACGCCGCGUGAGUGAAGAAGGUUUUCGGAUCGUAAAAUUCUGUUGUCAGAGAAGAACGUGUGCGAGAGUAACUGUUCGUGCAGUGACGGUAUCUGGCCAGAAAGCCACGGCUAACUACGUGCCAGCCGCCGCCGUAA
rnacentral:rRNA from 1 species